CAUUGACAGCCGGAAGGCAGUAACUGGCAGCCGGGUGGUAGGCGGGACCUGCCAUUCGGUGGGAGCCAAUCAGUAUCGACCAACGUGGGCGCAACCAAUCAGAUAUAACUGCACCCAAACGCUUCAGUAAUGGUUGCGAUUGAUCAAACGUUGCCAGAUGCUGUCCUGUUGGAAAUUCUUCUUUACGUGAUCCUGGAGGAGGGGGUGAUGCUACAUUACUAAGUCCGUCUUUGGUUUGUUCCAAAUUCAGAAGUCUGCUGUACUGUAUACAGACUCCUUUCGAAAGAGGGCACAAUCCAGCUGGCUUGACUGAGUAUCUUCUUUUACAUAUUUGAUUAGAGGUUUAAAAAGGUGCCAUAACAUUACAUUUCUCAGUUGCCAUGUCUGAAUGUUUAUCUUUGUAAUAAUGCUGUUUUCAUGCUCCUCAUCUCAAUAUACAGGUGGAACAAAAUGGAGAACAAGUCUAAGCCAUGUCAGGAAUUCAACAAAAUGUACACCCUGCAGACACUGCGACGAGGUUUACAACAACUGCUUACCAGGUCACUGCAGUCACCCGGAUCCAGUACGUAUCCAGACCAGAUGGUGGAUCGCACCUAGAAAGGACCUCUACAUCCCUGAAAGACAGCGGAGACCAGGACAACUAGAGCCCCAGAUACAGAUCCCCUGUAAAGACCUUGUUUUUUCUCCAUUUUGUCACCGGUGGAGUUUUGGUUCCUUGUCGCCCCUGGCUUGCUUCGUUGUGGUCACUUCAUUUACAGUGAUAUCAUUGACAUGAUUGCAAAUGAUUCCACAGAUACGAUUUAAACUGAACCAAGCUGAAGGAUGACAUCACUGAAUUGAAUGAUAAUCUGCCUUUUAAACUGACUAAAAACUGAGUUUACUAAUGUCCUUCUGCAUUAUUGACUGACACACUAUUUUCCUAUUUAAUAUUGUAAAGUUGCUUUGCUUUGAUCUGUAUUAUUAAAAGCACUAUAUAAAUAAA